UACGUAGGGUGCGAGCGUUGUUCGGAGUUACUGGGCGUAAAGAGUGCGUAGGCGGUUUUCUAAGUUUGGUGUGAAAUCUCCCGGCUUAACUGGGAGGGUGCGCCGAAGACUGGAAGGCUUGAGUAUGGGAGAGGUAAGCGGAAUUCCCAGUGUAGAGGUGAAAUUCGUAGAUAUUGGGAAGAACACCGGUGGCGAAGGCGGCGACCUGGUCCGUUACUGACGCUGAGGCGCGACAGCGUGGGGAGCAACAGGAU
rnacentral:rRNA from 1 species